rnacentral:rRNA from 1 species
UGGGGAAUAUUGCACAAUGGGCGCAAGCCUGAUGCAGCCAUGCCGCGUGUGUGAAGAAGGCCUUCGGGUUGUAAAGCACUUUCAGCGAGGAGGAAGGUGGUGAGCUUAAUACGCUCAUCAAUUGACGUUACUCGCAGAAGAAGCACCGGCUAACUCCGUGCCAGCAGCCGCGGUAAUACGGAGGGUGCAAGCGUUAAUCGGAAUUACUGGGCGUAAAGCGCACGCAGGCGGUUUGUUAAGUCAGAUGUGAAAUCCCCGGGCUCAACCUGGGAGCUGCAUUUGAAACUGGCAAGCUAGAGUCUCGUAGAGGGGGGUAGAAUUCCAGGUGUAGCGGUGAAAUGCGUAGAGAUCUGGAGGAAUACCGGUGGCGAAGGCGGCCCCCCUGGACGAAGACUGACGCUCAGGUGCGAAAGCGUGGGGCAGCAAACAGGAUUAGAUACCCUGGUAGUCCACGCUGUAAACGAUGUCGAUUUGGAGGUUGUGCCCUUGAGGCGUGGCUUCCGGAGCUAACGCGUUAAAUCGACCGCCUGGGGAGUACGGCCGCAAGGUUAAAACUCAAAGGAAUUGC